UACAGAGGGGGCAAGCGUUGUUCGGAAUUACUGGGCGUAAAGGGCGCGUAGGCGGCCGCCUAAGUCAGACGUGAAAUCCCUCGGCUCAACUGAGGAACUGCACGGGAGACUGCCGGGCUUGAGUUCGGGAGAGGGAAGCGGAAUUCCGGGUGUAGCGGUGAAAUGCGUAGAUAUCCGGAGGAACACCGGUGGCGAAGGCGGCUUCCUGGACCGACA
rnacentral:rRNA from 1 species